GACGAACGCUGGCGGCGUACUUAACACAUGCAAGUCACGGGGGGUAGCAAUACCAACCGGCGAACGGGUGCGUAACACGUGAGCAACAUUCCGAUUUCUGGGGGAUAGCCGGCCCAACGGCCGGGUAAUACCGCAUACGCUCAUUGAGAGGAGUCUCUCGAUGAGGAAACCUCCGGGGGAAAUCGAGUGGCUCGCGGCCUAUCAGCUAGUUGGCGGGGUAAUGGCCCACCAAGGCGAUGACGGGUAGCUGGUCUGAGAGGAUGGCCAGCCACAUUGGGACUGAGAAACGGCCCAGACUCCUACGGGAGGCAGCAGUGGGGAAUCUUGCGCAAUGGUCGAGAGACUGACGCAGCGACGCCGCGUGAGGGAGGAAGCUCUUCGGGGUGUAAACCUCUGUUGCCCGGGACGAAUGCUGGAAUUCAUUCCAGUUGACGGUACCGGGUGAGGAAGCGCCGGCUAACUCUGUGCCAGCAGCCGCGGUAAUACAGAGGGCGCGAGCGUUG
rnacentral:rRNA from 1 species